CCUCCCAGAGCCCACCCACAGGGAACAGGGGAUAGCUCAACUCAAGUGCAUGAGACCAGCAGUUUGAUCUGAGUACAACCAAUGAAUUGAUCUGAAUGUGACCAUAUGAGUAAGACAGCCAUGAUCAUCUUCCCAGUGGAAAGGCCACCAGUAGUUAACAGUUUUGAAUCAACAAUACACCUGCAAAUGAGGACUGAAACAGUACACAGAUCUCAGCAGUGGAAUCAUUUCUUCAAAACUAAAUAUUAUGUAGUUAUGAUAUAAGGAUUGUGGUAAUCAUAAAAAGAUAUUGUGCAUCAGAGCUGACACGUGGAAGAUACAGGGAAAUCUCAGAGGUGAUCUCUACCUUCAAAGGAGUCAAGUCUCAAACAAAGAAAAAUAUAAUGCAUACUUAAGGAAAAUAAUAAGAAGCAAAAUAUCAAUGAUUGUAAUAAUUAAGGGAGGCUGGGGGAGUAGAUUGGAGUUGAUAAGUAGUUUGUGAAAAAGCUUCAAAGGAAGGAUAGAGUGGAUAUGGAUAUGUAUAGGAGGGGGUAGGUGAUGUCUGCAGUCAAGUGGGCUUGUAGAAUGUCAUACACUUCUAGAAUAUCAGUCUGAAGGAUAAAGGGGGUUGUGUCCUGGGUGGAGACUGUCCAGUAAGUUCCAGACCCACAUAAACUGAAUUUUGAGAUAAGGAUACAGUAACAGUAAGGAUCUCAGGGACUUGAACAGGGCAAACCAAAGAAGUGACCACUGCCCACUGUGCAAUGGCUUUGUAGGCACCAAGAAUAACCCAAGGGUAAAUGUUCAGUCUACAGCUUGGUCAAUAUCCUGCCAGUGGCUGCUGGCUCUGAACCCACUGAGAUAGUGUGUUUUCUCAAGCUUGGCUCAAAAAUGCAGAUACUCCUUGACAUACAAUGGGGUUACAAUCCAACAAACUGGUCAUAAACUGAAAAAUUCUAAGCCAAAUCAUGGAAGGUCAGGGACCAUCUGUACAGGUUAGAUGAGAUUGUCACUCAGUGUCAAAAGUGGAACAGGGUGCAGAAGUCAGACUGUGGCUAAUAGAUGAAGAACUAAAAAGUUAAGGACAACAACAGUCAGUGAUGGUGGAAAAUGCAUAUAACUCCAUUGAGAGGGAACUGGGAACCUACAAUAAAUAUGGCACCAUUAAUUU